rnacentral:lncRNA from 1 species
CUUGCGAUGGAAUGAACCGAGGACUGCAUGUUGCUGUGGGACAUCUGUCAGAGAUGACUGCUUGGACGUAGAUCUAAGUCAAUAAAAAGUCUUUACUGUUGGUGGCAACUACACUGGAUAUUCAGGAUCUCAAUGUAGCCCCCAGUUUUUCUCAAGAAUUAACAGCUGCUUCACGGUUAACUGGGAAAGAGCAGGUGUGUUGGAGAUCGGAAGAGGAACCAGCAGUGGCCAACCUAAGCAGCACUGCUGUCCUUUGCACCGGAAAAGACCGACGGGAGGAGAAGAGGAGGGACAGACUCUGGUGAUUUAAUCUCUGAAAAGGACGAGGAAAAGCUAACAGAUCAGAUUCUGCUGUGGGGUGCACUGUUUGCCUCCUGGAAAUCCAGCGUGGGAGAAAAGGAAGGAGUCUGAAUUUACUGACGAUGGAGCCCAGGGUUGUCAUAAGGCUGCUUGCUGUGUUAGCCUAACCACUGGGCAUGAUUCCUGGAACCUCCAUAAAACCAGGAUAUGGUUACAGCUGUAAGCCCAGCAUUGCUCUGGUGAGAUGGGAGACUGAGACAGAAUGGGCCAGAGUCUCUGGGGCCAUCUGGCCUGGAGGCGAAGCACGGGAGAAACAGUAAGACAGACCUUAUCAGUCAAGAUGUUUACACUUGAGGUGACCAUUUUGGUUUCCCUGCACCCAGGGAAGGACGUUACAGUUCCUCCACUCAGGAACGCGCCCCUGAAUUUACUGUGGAACAGCAGGCUCUUGUAGAAGUCAUUACAGGCUCGGGGUAGCUCGGCAGAGCCUUGUGGUUUUCUUCUGGAUCAAACAGUCCUUGCUGAUUCGUGAGUGGUGGCUGCCGAGUGGACUGGACUGCAGCUGCUGAUUCAUGUUGGUGUUUUGUUAGAAGACUGGACUGCUGACAACGAAGAUUGGAAUCGCCCCAGAGAACUAUUUCUAAGCAGGUCCACAACCCCCAU